rnacentral:rRNA from 1 species
GGUUAAGCGACUAAGCGUACACGGUGGAUGCCCUGGCAGUCAGAGGCGAUGAAGGACGUGCUAAUCUGCGAUAAGCGUCGGUAAGGUGAUAUGAACCGUUAUAACCGGCGAUUUCCGAAUGGGGAAACCCAGUGUGUUUCGACACACUAUCAUUAACUGAAUCCAUAGGUUAAUGAGGCGAACCGGGGGAACUGAAACAUCUAAGUACCCCGAGGAAAAGAAAUCAACCGAGAUUCCCCCAGUAGCGGCGAGCGAACGGGGAGCAGCCCAGAGCCUGAAUCAGUAUGUGUGUUAGUGGAAGCGUCUGGAAAGGCGCGCGAUACAGGGUGACAGCCCCGUACACAAAAAUGCACAUAUUGUGAGCUCGAUGAGUAGGGCGGGACACGUGGUAUCCUGUCUGAAUAUGGGGGGACCAUCCUCCAAGGCUAAAUACUCCUGACUGACCGAUAGUGAACCAGUACCGUGAGGGAAAGGCGAAAAGAACCCCGGCGAGGGGAGUGAAAAAGAACCUGAAACCGUGUACGUACAAGCAGUGGGAGCACGCUUAGGCGUGUGACUGCGUACCUUUUGUAUAAUGGGUCAGCGACUUAUAUUCUGUAGCAAGGUUAACCGAAUAGGGGAGCCGAAGGGAAACCGAGUCUUAACUGGGCGUUAAGUUGCAGGGUAUAGACCCGAAACCCGGUGAUCUAGCCAUGGGCAGGUUGAAGGUUGGGUAACACUAACUGGAGGACCGAACCGACUAAUGUUGAAAAAUUAGCGGAUGACUUGUGGCUGGGGGUGAAAGGCCAAUCAAACCGGGAGAUAGCUGGUUCUCCCCGAAAGCUAUUUAGGUAGCGCCUCGUGAAUUCAUCUCCGGGGGUAGAGCACUGUUUCGGCAAGGGGGUCAUCCCGACUUACCAACCCGAUGCAAACUGCGAAUACCGGAGAAUGUUAUCACGGGAGACACACGGCGGGUGCUAACGUCCGUCGUGAAGAGGGAAACAACCCAGACCGCCAGCUAAGGUCCCAAAGUCAUGGUUAAGUGGGAAACGAUGUGGGAAGGCCCAGACAGCCAGGAUGUUGGCUUAGAAGCAGCCAUCAUUUAAAGAAAGCGUAAUAGCUCACUGGUCGAGUCGGCCUGCGCGGAAGAUGUAACGGGGCUAAACCAUGCACCGAAGCUGCGGCAGCGACGCUGAUGCGUUGUUGGGUAGGGGAGCGUUCUGUAAGCCUGUGAAGGUGUGCUGUGAGGCAUGCUGGAGGUAUCAGAAGUGCGAAUGCUGACAUAAGUAACGAUAAAGCGGGU